UAUACGUACCAUUCACUGUCAAUUUCAGGGAAAUGGUUGCAGGAAUCCACUCAUGAUAGAGAGCCAGAUUUACCACCAAAUUUAGAGAAUAGAGAGGUUCUCAGAAAUAACAUUCCACUGCAAACCAUGGGAGAAGUGGCAGCACCUAGACUGUCAUGGAGAAUGAAGGACUCUCUUGGAGAUAAUGCAUCCAUACAGCAGCCUUACUCUGCAUUCACAACAUAUGGGAAUUCUCCAUCAGUUUCUCUUCCAUCAGAUGAACAGCCAAUUGUGCAGAGAUCAUGGCAAAGCAAUAAUCACCGGUUGCCUGGGAACCCAAAAGUUGGUGGCACAAAUGGGAGCUUCUCAGGAAUGAGCAGAGACUACAGCUUGCAUAACAGAGAGGGCAUUGAAGAGAGUUCUGCUAGUAAUCAGCCUCUAUAUAUGGACAGAAUGCAAGAUAGUUUUUGUAAAGGCCGCUAUCAAAAACAAAGUUUCAGGAUGAGUUCACCUCCAGCAUUUUCCUUUUACCCUCGCAACUCUGAUUCAUAUCUCUUCAACAACAUGUCCAGAGGGAGAAGUCCUUCCCCACAAGCAGGUGGAAGAAUAAGUCCUCUUAAGAAUACAUGGAAUGUUCCUGUAACCAUAGAUAUGCAAAAACAUCUCUGUUCUGGUGUCCAGGAAAUCUCUGUAGGAGCUCCAGGAUCAGUAUUUGUUUUUCAGGGGACAAAUCAAGAGAGUGCUGAUCCACUGCCAGUGGAUCUGCAGGUAGCUAAUUUGGACCAGAACAUUGAUGCUAGAGAAAUGAAACGCAUUCUGUUCACAGUGUUCAGGGAUCAUGUAAUGGUACUGCACAUAUCAGUGUUUGUACAGUCAGAUGGAAAUUUGGUAGCAUCUGUGCGUGUGCCAUCACAGCAAGAUGCUCAGUAUGCUAUAUCACAACUUCAUCGAAAGAAGAUUGGAGCUAAAAGAAUUAUAAUAUCUUAUGUCAAUGAUAAUCAGCCUUCACCUGAAAUUAAAAGAUCUAAGGUUAUCAUGCUACUUCAAGAAGUUCCUGGGAAAAAACUCCCUUUAUUCAAGUUUCGGGAAUUGUUUGAAAGACGCUUCAAUGAAACCAUAGGAGUGUCAGAAAUGUACAAUAUGAGGGAUAUUGUUACAGUCUCUGAUAGUUUCACUGGAAGAAUGGUAAUGCUUCAUCCUGAAUAUCGUCAUCUUCAGUCUCCAGACUUGCCAGAGGUUAUAGAGGAAACAGAAGGCAGCUGCUCUAGAUAUUGUAAAUUACACAGCUCUGAACCAGAUGAGUCUAUUGGAUGGGCUGAGCGAGACCAUAACACAAGCUUGCCUAAUGUUGGCUUAACAUUGCGGGAUCUUGGUGCUGCCAUUCAUGCUUUGUUGCAGUCUCACUCAGGCUUCCUGCCUCUUGCUAGUCUUGUUGAGUGUUAUCAGGCAGAGCUUGGUCCCUUAGAAGAAUGUGAAGGUGGUGUACCCCUUGAGCACUUGAUUUCUUGCUUGUCUGGCAUAUCCAUAGUGAUCACUGCUGCAGGAUUCAAGUAUAUUAAAUGGGCUGAAAAUAAAAUCUUGGAUGAGGCAGAUGAACUAGCACGAAGUGUAAGUCCUCCUCUUGUUGAGCAAUUGGCACUCUUUUCACGUGAACUGGUGGAUCUAUUUAAGACUUUUCCACAUUGUCGUCUUCCAUUUUCUAGAUUUAUACCAGCAUACCACCACCAUUUUGGUCGGCAAUGUAGAGUUGCUGAUUAUGGAUUCACUAAACUUGCUGAUUUAUUUGAUGCCCUACCCCAUAUCAUUCAAAUACUUGGAGAGGGAAACAAACGCAUUUUGACACUAGCCCACAAAGCACAAAUUAAGCGGUUUUCUUCCGAUCUGCUGAGAGUUUUGAAGGGACAGCCAACCAAGUCAAUCACGCUUGAAACUUUUUCUUCAGCUUAUGAAAAGGUUAUUAAUCGCCAGUGGAAUGUUGUUGAUUAUGGAGUUUUUGAUAUUGAAGACCUUUUGACAGAAGUUGGUGAGACUACUGUGAUAGUUACUAGGUCAGGUGCAGAGAUAACAGUUGCAAUACCUAAAAGAGAGCAGACAUCUGAGGAAAUAGAAAGAACAAGAUUGUUUGCUGCAGAAGUGGUAGAGCUCCUGCGUCACUCGCCACAGUGUAAGAUGCAGUUCAAUAGAUUUAUUCCUGCAUAUCAUCACCACUUUGGAAGGCAGUGCAGGGUGGCAGACUAUGGCUUCAGCAAACUCAUCGAACUCUUUGAAGCAAUACCAGACAUUGUACAAGUGUAUGAUGAUGAUGAUGAAGGGGAGAAACAGUUGCAACUCGUUGAACGUGAACGUAUUAGGGUGCUGGGAGAGCAAGUUGGUGCAGUUGUCAGAGGAGCACCCUGCCAGGCUAUAAAGAUUUCGGCCCUAACUCGAGUAUUUACUCGGUACUAUGGAUGCUCUCUUAAACCCUCACAGUAUGGAUCAAGUUCCCUAGUUGAAUUGAUUGGAAAACUUCGGAAUCAUGUUAAGAUGAUUGAAACAGAUGAUGAACCAAUAGUUGCAUUGGUGGAUCGUGGACAUGUCCAUGAAAUAAUGACAAGGGCUCGCACAAUUUUGUGGGAUGUUCCUGAAGGCUCUCUUACUCUGGACAAAUUUAUGGAGACCUACAAGGAACACUACAAUACAUCACCCAACUUGGAAAUAAUGAAGAAAGAUUUGGAAGACAUUGUCAUAAUUGAUGAUGAUAAAGAUCCAAAAAUAAGUCUUGUACCAUUGCAAUUUUUUGCAAGAGAUUUAUUGACUUUAUUGCAUGAAGCUGGAGGCCGCAUGAAUCUUACAAACUUUGACACUGCCUUUGUUGAUCGAUUUGGGGUUGCAUGUCGUCCAGCAGCAUAUGGUUUCCCAAAUAUUGUUGCAUUAGUUCAGUCCUUGGGAGAUCUGGUGACUGUUCGAGGGAAAGGAAUGAAAAGAAUUCUUGUACUCAAUCAAGAUUUUGUUCCUAUACCUUCCUUUUCAAACAUGAUUAGUCAAAGUGUAUAUGGAGAUGGUGGGAAUAGUGUGACUGCAAGUAACGAUCCCAGCCAACAUGCUUCAGCUUCACAGCAGCCUCUACCACACAGUGUUUCAAAUGCUGCACACUAUGAAUAUCAACGGUUAAUGCAGGAUUCCAGCACAAGUGCUCAUUUAGUUAUGAGUGUUAAUCCCUCCCCUCACCAUCAACAGUAUCAACCUUCUUCUCCUGUGGUAUACCCAGGCUCUCCUGCAACAAGUGGAGGUUCUAUGGUAUGGGGUCAGAUGUGGUCUCCUCAGUAUCCAGUAAUGCCACCACUUUCUCCUGCCCAUUAUAUGGUGCCAACAAUACCAGUGAGCUGGGGCAGUGUUUCAGCUUCUCCAGUGGGUGCUGUAAACUCAGAUGGUACUCCGGCUCAACUCCAGUCCAGCUUGGCACCUCCUCCAGUCUCAAUACAUACACUUGAUAAGCUUGUGAAACAGGUGCAGUUUGUCAGGGUAGCAAAGUAAGUGAUGCUUUCACCUCUCCACCAAAAGCCUGUGAACUCCCUACUCCUGAUCUUUUUACUCAGGUGCACCCACCAGACAUUCCACAUGCAGGGAUUGUUAAUUACUCAGGAGAGCAGAAAACUACAUGUAGGGAAGAGGAUCAACUGAUAACUGGAACACAAACAAUGUAAGUGGAAAAGCAGAAGUGAGUUUAGCUUCUGCCUUGCCAAAGCUUCAUACCAAAAGGAGAAUUGCUGCCCAAUUCACAUCCAAAUGAUAGGUUUCAGUAAUUUCUGAUGUACUAGUUUUCAUGACUGCCUUUUGCAACAACUUUAAUUUUUUUACUGAUGAGCAUUUACCAUAAUAUUUUCUAUAAUUAAAGAUAUUAAUAUUAUAAGUGAUUUUGAAAGAAAGCAAUUAUUUCUUAAAAUCUUAUUGCAUAUGUAACUUGAAAUGUAACACAACUUACUUUUCAUUCUUACUUCAUUUUGACAGUUUGGAGUUUUAAAUGUGUAUGACAAGCUGAGUAUUUUUACUUUUAUUAUAACUGGUUUCAUUGAGAAAUAUAAAUCUGAUCUCAAUUUCAUCUGAAUAUGGUGAAUAUUUUAUUAAUGAAAUGUGGCGUGUUUUUUCUGUGUAUCAGAUAAAUUAAGGUCUAUUGUUAGUGUAGUAAUGAUGAGAAUUAUUAUUGUCAUUUGUAACCUUGCAAAAUUUAUAAGUUUUGCCAUUAUGUGUAAUUUGAAUUGUUGAUGUGUUGUGAACUAUGCAUUAAUGCAGUUAGCAUUCUUUUAAAUGUGCUAUGCAGUUGUUGUAUAGUUUGCUUUAUUUUGUUUAAUAUUUCUUGAUAUACGUAAAUACAUUUGAGUUGUGAAAGAAAGCCAAAUAAGAUAUUUUUUGUAGACUUUAUAUAUUUGUUGUACAUUUUAUAUUACAUUAUGUUACUAAGUUGCUAAUUUUCAUUCUUGAUUAUGUGUGGAUAUAGAAGUACCAUUUCUCUCUCUCUCUCUCUCUCUCUCUCUCUCUCUCUCUCUCUCUCUCUCUCUCUCUCUCUCUCUCUCUCUCUGUACAACUGAGUAAGUGGUUUUCAUGGAUACUUCCAGUUCAAGGUUUAUAUUAUGAGAAGAGAUACAUCAAAACUGCUUUUCUUUCUGAAAGUUAUGUGCUAUCUGUGAUUAAUUCUAGCCAAAUGUUAGUAAUGUAGUCAAAUAAUUUAUUAAAAUUAGUUUUUGAAUAUCAAUGGAUGCUGAACUUAUAUUUUGCUAAUAAGUGGUUUGUAGAUAUCUAAUUCUUCAUAGCUUAUAGAAAGUCUAUGAGUAAAAACCUACUUGAGAUUCCUUAGGUUGAAUAAAUAAGAUUUUUAAAGUUAGUUAUGGUUUAUAACAGCUAUGAAAUUAAUUUUGUUUUAAGUAUGGGAGCCUGAAUGCUGUCAUGCUAUUUUGAACAUUACCUGCUUAUACCUUGAAAUCUAAGAAUACACAUGCAAUAGCUAUUGCACUAAAAUCUUUUCCAAGAUUCUAACAUACAAAACAAAGUGCCUUAAACAGUAAUGUUGAAAUAGAUAUUUCUUGUCUAUCAGUGUGGUGUAGAGGUAUUAUUAAAGAUACUGUUAGUGUUCAGUUCAUUGGUUGUGGGUAUCUCAGUGUUACACUGAAAUUUUCCUUGUUGUGGAACUUGCAAUAAAAAGUAACAAUGA